GAUUUUGAAGGAGAGGAUGAGGGCUUUUUCCCUUACCUGAGGAAUCUGCUCUGAACUGAAGACCACAUCCUUCAAAAGCCUGGAGUGGUGAUGUCUGUCUCUCAGAAAUCUAUGCAGGGCUCCCAGAAACCCAUGCCUGCCCCACCCACAAGGACACGCAGGGUUUGGACAAUCUCGGCAAGAAACAGAGACCUGCAAAGCCAUUGAAGAAGAAAACAGCACCGCCGAAAAGAUGAAACCCAAGAUCCCCACCAAAACAGGCUUUGUGAAGCGAGGAGCCAGUAAUUCCUCAUGAAGGAAAGAUGAAUGCAAAAGCUGAAGGGACUUCGUUACCCUGCUAAUGGCUGGAAAAAGAAGGAAAAGUCAAUUUAAGAGAACUUGGAGAACUUGGCAGCAAUGGUGAUG